rnacentral:rRNA from 1 species
GACGAACGCUGGCGGCGUGCUUAACACAUGCAAGUCGAACGAAGUGGCGAACGGGUGAGUAACGCGUAAUCAACCUGCCAUUCAGAGGGGGACAACAGUUGGAAACGACUGCUAAUCCCGCAUACUGAAGGCGGGUAUUGCGUCUGAUUCGCUAGUUGGAGGGGUAACGGCCUACCAAGGCGAUGAUCAGUCGCCUGGAUGAGAGGAUGGACGGCCAAAUCGGGCCCGAGAACCGGGCCAGACUCCCACGGGAGGCAGCAGUUGGGAAACUUUCGCCAGUGACGAAAGUCUGACUGAGCAACGACGGGGUAGGGAGGAAGGCCUUCGGGUUGUAAAGCUAUGUUAAGCGGGACGCGGUACCGGAAUAGAAAGCCACGGCUAACUACGUGCCAGCAGCCGCGGUAAUAC